AGAGUUUGAUCAUGGCUCAGGAUGAACGCUAGCUACAGGCUUAACACAUGCAAGUCGAGGGGCAGCAUGUUGGUUGCUUGCAACCAAUGAUGGCGACCGGCGCACGGGUGAGUAACGCGUAUCCAACCUACCCUUGUCCAUCGGAUAACCCGUCGAAAGGCGGCCUAACACGAUAUGCGGUUCACAGCAGGCAUCUAAGGUGAACGAAAUGUGAAGGAGAAGGAUGGGGAUGCGUCUGAUUAGCUUGUUGGCGGGGUAACGGCCGACCAAGGCUACGAUCAGUAGGGGUUCUGAGAGGAAGGUCCCUCACAUUGGAACUGAGACACGGUCCAAACUCCUAACGGGAGGCCA
rnacentral:rRNA from 1 species